UACGGGGGGAGCAAGCGUUGUUCGGAUUUACUGGGCGUAAAGGGCGCGUAGGCGGCGUGGUAAGUCACUUGUGAAAUCUCCGGGCUUAACUCGGAACGGUCAAGUGAUACUGCUGCGCUAGAGUGCGGAAGGGGCAACUGGAAUUCUUGGUGUAGCGGUGAAAUGCGUAGAUAUCAAGAGGAACACCUGCGGCGAAGGCGGGUUGUUGGGCCGACACUGACGCUGAGGCGCGAAAGCUAGGGGAGCGAACGGGAUUAGAUACCCCGGUAGUCCUAGCCUUAAACGAUGGAUGCUUGGUGUCUGGAGUAUUUAGUCUCCGGGUGCCGUCGCUAACGCUUUUAGCAUCCCGCCUGGGGAGUACGGUCGCAAGACUGAA
rnacentral:rRNA from 1 species